rnacentral:rRNA from 1 species
GAUGAACGCUGGCGGCGUGCCUAAUACAUGCAAGUCGAGCGAACGGACGAGAAGCUUGCUUUUCUGAUGUUAGCGGCGGACGGGUGAGUAACACGUGGAUAACCUACCUAUAAGACUGGGAUAACUUCGGGAAACCGGAGCUAAUACCGGAUAAUAUUUUGAACCGCAUGGUUCAAAAGUGAAAGACGGUCUUGCUGUCACUUAUAGAUGGAUCCGCGCUGCAUUAGCUAGUUGGUAAGGUAACGGCUUACCAAGGCAACGAUGCAUAGCCGACCUGAGAGGGUGAUCGGCCACACUGGAACUGAGACACGGUCCAGACUCCUACGGGAGGCAGCAGUGGGGAAUCUUCCGCAAUGGGCGAAAGCCUGACGGAGCAACGCCGCGUGAGUGGUGAAGGUCUUCGGAUCGUAAAACUCUGUUAUUAGGGAAGAACAUAUGUGUAAGUAACUGUGCACAUCUUGACGGUACCUAAUCAGAAAGCCACGGCUAACUACGUG